UACGAUACUCCGAUCAUGUGGCCCGAUUCCCUGAGGACCCAUGCGGCCGGACCAGUCCAAGGGGACGCCCAUAUACUGUAGCACCUCACUCACGUUGGCCUGGGGGAACACCUACCGGAAUCCCAAGGCGUUGCGUCAUGUGUUGGGUGUGGCAACGUGCUAUCACCUGCUCCUCAACCUGACCUGGGGUGCGUUUCUCGAACAACGACGGAAGUUAGCAUUAACGAUGCAUCGUACCACAAGAGAACAAAAGUGACAUCGCCAUCAACAAUGGAAGAAGUGAGACCAGACACAACAAAGAUGGCACAGUGGCCUUCGAACUGAACUUUGAUUUAAACUCUGCAGGGGGGGUACAUGUUGUGUUAGCGUUAGCAUUACAUGGCACACAACCUGCAGCUCUCCACUUCAGGAAUCUGACAUUGUUGACUUUAGAUUAAAGCACCAAAAAUGCAGCAUCUCAUACCCAAAUGUGUGUAUCUGUGUGCCAGAAAAAGCACACGCUGCAGUCAACACUCUGAACUUGGACAAUGUGUUUUAAAAGUAGCAAAGAGCCUUUUAAAGGACACGUUGUUUCCCAGAGCAUUCUCGCUGUCUAAAAAAGGAGCACAAAUGUCCUAUGUGACUCCAUGUGGGCAGGAGGGGGGCGCUUUGACAGGGCACCGAGCACCUUAUCACCCGUGACCACCUGUGACCGCUGGCACUUUAUUUCCUAGGUUUUCCCUGGACAAGCCCAGCCGCUCUCUGCGGAUGAGCAGAUCGCCAUGGAGGCAAAGUUCUUUUCAGCAUGACGUUCUGAUGUGAGUCAGCCAGUGAAAAGGACCAUUGACCUGGAGGCUGUGAGCACUGGACAAAGAUGACACUGGCCUGCUGUCUCCUGGAGCAGCGCUAAUUUACCUCACUGACUUACGAGGUGAAAAUGGCUACAUGGUGCAUUGUCCCACAUAUAAACCCUUUUGCAGGAACGUUUUUUUUUACAUCAAUAACGGCUGCCACUUUUGCCACUGCUUGUCAAGUAAAUCUCGAGCUGUAUACGACACCUGCGAAGCAGCCUGCAAGCUGAAAUGCACAACCUCCCACCAACAUCUGUGCAGGAGCUUCAGGGUUAUCUCACCCGAAAGUCAAUAGACGGCUACAAGGUCUUUCCCGGGCUUUUCAUGGCACUCGGUGUUAAUUGGAGUGCAUGCAGUCAGAAGAGCAAACAGCAGUAACGAACUGAUCGCUGAACUACAAACAAACACAAUGCAAUACACAUUCUCAUUUGGCAGGCCAGCGCUGUAUGGAGAUAACGUAAAAAGAAAAGGAAGGAGCCUAAGAGAACCAAGCAGGUAAUUCAUUAGGAAAACAAAGCUGCUCUCUGCCUGUGUCUGUGGCUCCAGGGGUCUGUCAGUGUGGAGAACAAAUGAAACACUCAUUCGUUCUUUGUUGUAUGAAUUAUCGCCUCGCAGUGUUCUUAGAGUGUGCUGCCUCUCUGGAGGAGUGU